AUUGAACGCUGGCGGCAUGCCUUACACAUGCAAGUCGAACGGCAGCACGGGUGCUUGCACCUGGUGGCGAGUGGCGAACGGGUGAGUAAUACAUCGGAACGUACCUUAUCGUGGGGGAUAACGCAGCGAAAGUUGCGCUAAUACCGCAUACGCCCUGAGGGGGAAAGCGGGGGACCGUAAGGCCUCGCGCGAUUAGAGCGGCCGAUGUCUGAUUAGCUUGUUGGUGAGGUAAAAGCUCACCAAGGCGAUGAUCAGUAGCUGGUCUGAGAGGACGAUCAGCCACACUGGGACUGAGACACGGCCCAGACUCCUACGGGAGGCAGCAGUGGGGAAUUUUGGACAAUGGGGGCAACCCUGAUCCAGCAAUGCCGCGUGAGUGAAGAAGGCCUUCGGGUUGUAAAGCUCUUUUGUCAGGGAAGAAACAGCAGCUCUAACACAGACUGCGAAUGACGGUACCUGAAGAAUAAGCACCGGCUAACUACGUGCCAGCAGCCGCGGUAAUACGUAGGGUGCGAGCGUUAAUCGGAAUUACUGGGCGUAAAGCGUGCGCAGGCGGUUAUACAAGACAGGCGUGAAAUCCCCGGGCUUAACCUGGGAAUGGCGUCUGUGACUGUAUAGCUAGAGUGUGUCAGAGGGGGGUGGAAUUCCACGUGUAGCAGUGAAAUGCGUAGAUAUGUGGAGGAACUACCAAUGGCGAAGGCAGCCCCCUGGGAUAACAC
rnacentral:rRNA from 1 species